CCUACGGGAGGCAGCAGUGAGGAAUAUUGGUCAAUGGUCGGGAGACUGAACCAGCCAAGCCGCGUGAGGGAGGAAGGUACAGAGUAUCGUAAACCUCUUUUGUCAGGGAACAAAGGCGGGGACGUGUCCCCGGAUGAGUGUACCUGAAGAAAAAGCAUCGGCUAACUCCGUGCCAGCAGCCGCGGUAAUACGGAGGUGGCAAGCGUUAUCCGGAUUUAUUGGGUGUAAAGUGCGUGUAGGCGGGAAAGCAAGUCAGAUGUGAAAACUCAGGGCUCAACCCUGAGCCUGCAUUUGAAACUGUUUAUCUUGAGUGCUGGAGAGGCAAUCGGAAUUCCGUGUGUAGCGGUGAAAUGCGUAGAUAUGACGAAGAACCCCGAUUGCGAAGGCAGCUUGCUGCAGCGGAACUGACGCUGAUGCUCGAAAGCGCGGGUAUCGAACAGGAUUAGAUACCCGGGUAGUC
rnacentral:rRNA from 1 species